rnacentral:misc_RNA from 1 species
CAAUUUUAUAUCUCAUUAAAUUUUUUUCUAUUUUUUUAUAUCUCGUCGUUUAACUAAUUAGUUAUUUACGGAAUAAAUCACUCGAAACGUUAUUUGGUCGUAUUUAAAUUAAAAUUCAAGGCUCAAUCGCGAUAAGGGGCAGCCUUUAUAUGAAUAGAUUGCGCAAGAGUUGAC